GACGAACGCUGGCGGCGUGCUUAACACAUGCAAGUCGAACGAGUGGCGAACGGGUGAGUAACACGUGGGUGACCUGCCCUGCACUUCGGGAUAAGCCUGGGAAACUGGGUCUAAUACCGGAUAGUGUGGGAUGGGCCCGCGGCCUAUCAGCUUGUUGGUGGGGUAAUGGCUACCAAGGCGCGACGGGUAGCCGGCCUGAGAUGGGGGACGGCCACAUUGGGGCUUGUACACGGCCCCGACUCCCACGGGGGGCAGCAGUGGGGAUUAUGGACCAAUGGCCGAAGCCUGAUGCAGCCAUGCCGCGUGUAUGAAGAAGGCCUUAGGGUUGUAAAGUACUUUCAGCGGGGAGGCGUUACCCGCAGAAGAAGCACCGGCUAACUCCGUGCCAGCAGCCGCGGUAAUAC
rnacentral:rRNA from 1 species